UACGUAGGGGGCAAGCGUUGUCCGGAUUUACUGGGCGUAAAGAGCGUGUAGGCGGCCCGGUAAGUCCGCUGUGAAAGUCGGGGGCUCAACCCUCGAAUGCCGGUGGAUACUGUCGGGCUAGAGUGCGGAAGAGGCGAGUGGAAUUCCUGGUGUAGCGGUGAAAUGCGCAGAUAUCGGGAAGAACACCCGUGGCGAAGGCGGCUCUCUGGAACGGUACUGACGCUGAGACGCGAAAGCGUGGGGAGCGAACAGG
rnacentral:rRNA from 1 species